GGCCUGCUGAGGGUGACGAAGCCGAGAAUGGAACACGUGAUCACGGCAUAGUAUAUCUGCAUCCAGAAAAAAAUAUGCCAACAAAACAUGUGUCCGAAAGUGGAAUUCAAAAACACAAUGCCUGCCAAGAACGUAAUCUCAAAAUGGCUGCGGGCGAAACAAGGAAAACAUAAACACUCAGCAUGGGGCUAGCGAGUACAUAGCCAGUGAAAAAAUAUGAACGCGUCCGAUCCUGAUAUACUGGUGGCAAAAGGCCAACUAGAUAUAUCAUACAGAGGACCAGAAUAUAUUUUGGAUAGCUCGGGCGCUACAUACAAUACCGUGCUAGAAUUUAACAUCACCUUCGAUAACAGUUCAGUAUAUAACGCGACAGAAGAAUCACUCGAUCUGUGGAACGAUUACAUCAAACUCCUCCAAGACCGCGCAUUGCUGGUCACUUUCCUGCUUCUUUUUUCCAUGACGACUGUUUUUGGAAACAUGCUUGUCAUACUCGCUGUGAUACGUGAACGUUACCUACAUACGUCAACAAACUAUUUUGUUACGUCACUUGCAGUAGCUGACUGCCUAGUCGGAUUAGUGGUCAUGCCAUUCUCAGCACUGUACGAGGUAUUAGAACAUACAUGGUUCUUUGGCGUAGACUGGUGCGAUGUGUGGCGAUCCUUAGACGUGCUAUUCAGUACUGCCUCCAUACUAAAUCUGUGUGUGAUCUCACUCGACCGGUACUGGGCAAUCACGGACCCUAUUACAUAUCCGAUGCGAAUGAGCGGACGGAAAGCCGCUUUCCUUAUUGCCGCUGUAUGGGUGUGUUCCGGUGCUAUAUCCUUUCCCGCUAUCGCGUGGUGGCGAGCCGUACGAUUAGAAGAAGUACCAGAUUAUAAGUGUCCCUUUACGGAAAACCUUGAGUAUAUAAUAUUUUCAUCAACAAUAUCGUUUUAUUUGCCUCUUUUUGUCAUGGUGUUCACGUAUUAUCGUAUAUAUCGUGCAGCGACUAUACAGACGCGGUCUUUAAAGAUCGGUACUAAACAAGUGAUGAGGCCAAGUGGUGAGUUAGAGUUGACCUUGCGUAUACAUAGAGGGGGGACAGUGCGUCAGCGUAGUGACGCGUGUCACGGUGUUUGUACUCCCGAAGAAGCCGACCAGGAGCCGCUGACCGCCCUGCAAAACAAUGGGCUGUCACGUUCAUCCACGCGGUUAACCAAUGUGACUCACGGCAAACACUUGCCAAAAAACUUUUCGUUAUCUCGUAAGCUGGCUAAGUUUGCUAAAGAAAAGAAAGCAGCCAAGACUCUCGGUAUAGUGAUGGGUGUGUUUAUAGUGUGUUGGUUACCAUUCUUCGUGGUGAACUUGCUGUCAGGUAUCUGUUCGGCAUGCAUAGCGCAUGUGGAAAUUGUCAACAUGGUGGUCACGUGGCUCGGCUGGGUGAACUCAUCAAUGAACCCUGUCAUUUACGCCUGCUGGAGCAGAGAUUUUAGAAGGGCUUUCCUGAGAAUUUUGUGCGUGUGCUGCCCAAGAAAGCUACGCCGAAAAUAUCAACCACAGUUACGCUUCAAACAAUCGCAGUUCCGCUCGACUCGACGCUAUUACUCGUCUAGCGAAUUGAUGGGCAUACAGCAAGUCAGACAAAACUCCUGCGAACAGACUUAUAUAUAGCGAUUUAGCCUCGUUUAUAUAAGUCGCUUCGGCUUUUUCUCCGACUUUCCAAGUGCCUUGUCACAUUCAAUUUAUGUCAUCCAAGAAUUGAAUACUUCGCUUAGAUUGAGGGAUGGUCUUCUAAAGGAUUUUUAGUAUCUUAGGCGAUACUUCACUGAGUCCUCUUAUUAACAAAAUAUGAAAUUGAGUACCCCGUGUCGACGAUGAUGUAUUCAUCGGUGUCACAGCACGAGAUGUGUCGAUUGUGACAUCAGGCGCGCGCGGGCACGUGCCGCGGCCCGCGCGCUAGAUGCUCCUGAUGCCGCGAACGCCGCUCGCUGCGGGCCAACCGCCGCGGCGGCGACAACUACCGCCUCAGAAACAUCGAGCACACAUCCUUCGAAGAACCCAUACAGUGCGUCGACAGACAUUUGUGCCCUGAAAACGUUCCCUACUGUCAGGACUCGGAAUCCGUGAGCGAGAUAAGUUUAGAGAGCGACUCUCGAAACCCCUCUAUCAAGAGGAACUUGAGCAAAAAAAAAGUGACCUACCAAACAAAAGCUGAAGUGAUCUCGAAUUAGUGUCGUCUUAGUUUCUUAGUAAAGUUUCUUGAGAAAUAUUGAAUUCAAUCAGGAGCUGUGAUUUACUGAUUAGCUUUGUACAUACAUAUAGUUUAACGUUCAGCAAUCAGGAAUCUAAGAUGUUUAAUGUAUUACGUUGUAUAAUAUGGUAAUACUUUAACGUAUAAGUUACCCAAUAGACAUGCCAGGAUAAUAAUUAUUUUGUUUCUUGUAUUCCUGAUUGUUUUACAUAUUUGUUCUAGCAUUUGAUGCUUCUUGUGUAAUACUUUAAUAGAGAGGGAAGUAAUGCGCUUCAUAAUUAUGUAAAUAUUGUAAAUACUCAUUUGACAUUAUAAAUACUCAUACUCAAAUUUGUAUGUGACGACGAUUGGUCAUAACAGAGUCUGACAGUAUCGAAAAUACUUACUGUUUAAUUUUUUUCUGCGCUAAACAAUAAAAACUAUGUUAAUUUCAAACUGUGGAAUAGGCUCCCUACCAAGGAUUUCCCUAAAGAUUACAGUUGAAAAAUGAAAUUACAAGGUACAGAGGUAAAUCAUGAAGGGUAUCUUGGGCGACACACUUUACUCUGUUAUGUCUAUGGUGCUGCUCAUGUCUAUAUGGGACGGUUACCACUUCCCAUCAGAUGGACCGUCAGCUUGUUUUCCAUUCUAAGUUGCAUAAAAAUUAUGGAGUUCUGCGAAAAGGAAUGAGAUUGGUGGGUUGAGAUUUCUUUAUGGGUAGGCAAUGUGCACGUAACAUUUCUGGUAUUGCAGGCGUCUAUAGGCUACAGUAACCGUUUACCUUCAGACGGGCUGUAUGCUUGUUUAUCACCUUGAUAGUUAAAAAAAAUUACACAAAUUAUUAUUUUCAUUCAUAAUAAUAAUCACACCGACUAUAUUAAAUCCAUAUUGUUAAAUAUUUAUUAUACAUAAGUAUACAUAAAUGGUUUAAUUUGAAUUGGCAUCACGAAUGGAGCUCAUAUAAUCAACGUAAAUUAAUUUGGGGCAUGAACUAAAUCGAGUGUGUUAUAACCAAAACAGUUUAGCUUCAGUGUGUAGUAAUUUAGAUAUUAGAGAUAAGCUAUAAUAUACUAAAGUCUCAGGUUAUCUCAACAGCUAAUAACAGCUUGCUAUUUUUGUUUCUUCAGCAAAUCUUCCAAGGGAUAUGAUGUUUGUUUUUCCGUUUCACUUGAUAUAUGAACGACGCAAAGAUUUAUUCUUGCCUUCUAUUUUAGGCUUUAUUGAGACGAGGGUAUUUUAUAUAAGACUUGAUUAGCAGACGUUCAUUUACUGACGCAACAAAAGUUCCAAAGAAAUUCAUACAUUUUAGUAAGAAAUAUAUAUAUAUAUAUUUUUUUUUUCUAAUACCAGCAACUAAUGAUAUUUCAUUAAAUCGUAUGUUUAGUACAAUUUUCUCACUAUUGUAUUAAUGACAUCAAAUUUCAUGUAAAAUAUUUGAUAAAUUGUUCCCAAAAACACAAACAAAUAAAAUCAUUUCUGGAUAUAACAAAAUCAUAAAUAUAUUUUUACUAAAUUCUGUAGGUGUUCAGAGGAUGCGAAGAGUUAAAAGAUCACUGACAUAAUAAUGCUAAUUUUAUGAAAUGGUUUA